UACGUAGGGUGCGAGCGUUAAUCGGAAUUACUGGGCGUAAAGCGUGCGCAGGCGGUUCGUUGUGUCCGUCGUGAAAGCCCCGGGCUUAACCCUGGGAACUGCGAUGGAAACUAGCGAGCUGGAGUGUGGCAGAGGGGGUGGAAUUCCGCGUGUAGCAGUGAAAUGCGUAGAGAUGCGGAGGAACACCGAUGGCGAGGGCAGCCCCCUGGGCUAACACUGACGCUCAGGCACGAAAGCGUGGGGAGCAAACAGG
rnacentral:rRNA from 1 species